rnacentral:SRP_RNA from 1 species
CCGUGCUAGGCGGGGAGAUAGCGGUGCCCUGUACCCGCAAUCCGCUACAGCGGGGUUGAAUUCCCCUCAGAGGGCCGGUCUACUAGCCUCCACCUGCACUGCGUGGCGUUGAGGGCCGGGCCCUGCGCGGCAGAGAGCUAUGAACCCCGCCAGAUCCGGAAGGAAGCAACGGUAAAUAGUUACCUCUGAGCGCCGCAGGAACUCCUGGUCUGAGCCGGGCGGUGCGGGCGCGCGGGUGGGCCGGGACGACGAGGGGUGCACGG